UACAGAGGGUGCAAGCGUUGUUCGGAAUUAUUGGGCGUAAAGCGCGCGUAGGCGGCUUGGUAAGUCGACUGUGAAAUCCCGUGGCUUAACCAUGGAAGUGCAGUCGAAACUACCUCGCUCGAGUGUCGGAGAGGGUGGUGGAAUUCCCAGUGUAGAGGUGAAAUUCGUAGAUAUUCGGAAGAACACCAGUGGCGAAGGCGGCUUUCUGGUCUGUAACUGACGCUGAGGCGCGAAAGCGUGGGGAGCAAACAGG
rnacentral:rRNA from 1 species